rnacentral:misc_RNA from 1 species
UGAGAGCUGCACAGGUACACCA